UAAAGGUUUGGUCCUGGCCUUAUAGUUAAUUAGGGGUAGAAUUACACAUGCAAAUAUCCAUAUACCAGUGUCAGAUCCCCUUAAAAUUUAAUCUUAAAUAUAAGGAGGAGAUAUCAAGCACAUAUCUGUAUAGCUUAAGACAUCUUGCCUAGCCACACCCCCACGGGUAACAGCAGUGAUAAAAAUUAAGCAAUGAACGAAAGUUCGACUAAGGUCAUACCCCAAAGGGUUGGUAAAUUUCGUGCCAGCCACCGCGGUCAUACGAUUAACCCAAGUUAAUUAUAUUUCGGCGUAAAACGUGCUAUAUUAAUAUAUAAAUAGAAUUAAAACUCAACUUAUAUGUGAAAAUUCAUUGUUAGAAUUUAAAAUCAAUAACGAAGGUAAUUCUAAUAUAUCAAUGCACGACAGCUAAGAUCCAAACUGGGAUUAGAUACCCCACUAUGCUUAGCCGUAAACUUAAAUAAUUUAUAACAAAAUUAUUUGCCAGAGAACUACGAGCCACAGCUUAAAACUCAAAGGACUUGGCGGUACUUUAUAUCCAUCUAGAGGAGCCUGUUCUAUAAUCGAUAAACCCCGCUAUACCUUACCACCUUUUGCUAAUUCAGCCUAUAUACCGCCAUCUUCAGCAAACCUUAAAAAAGAGAAAAAGUAAGCAAAAGAAUUAAACAUAAAAACGUUAGGUCAAGGUGCAGCCUAUAAGGUGGGAAGUAAUGGGCUACAUUUUCUCAUAAAGAAUAUACGAAACCCUUUAUGAAACUAAAGGCUAAAGGAGGAUUUAGUAGUAAAUUAAGAAUAGAGUGCUUAAUUGAAUAGAGCAAUGAAGUGCGCACACAUCGCCCGUCACCCUCCUCAAACUAAAUACUAAUACUAUUAAAUAAAUUACAUUAGAAAAAUUUACGAGAGGAGAUAAGUCGUAACAAGGUAAGCAUACUGGAAAGUGUGCUUGGA
rnacentral:ncRNA from 1 species